rnacentral:lncRNA from 1 species
GCGGAAGAGACAUGACGUGACGGAGGCGUGCGAGGGGCGGUGACAGAGGCUAGGUGCGCCGUUUGCGCUGACGGCGGCGUAAAAGUCAGAAGACCCUAGGAGUGACAGAGGUGGCUAGGGUUAGGGUUUCAACUUUUUCUGAAAAAUUUUAACAUUUUGGGCCAUUGGGCUUUCAUUUUUUUUGGGUUGUAAUUUUAAUUAUUUUUGGGCUUUUUGGUUUAUUUUUGUUUUUGGUUUCUAGUGGGC